AUGGGAAGAGUGACAGUACAGGUCAAGGUGGAUUCGUGGGGCUAUAAAGCUUGUUUGCUGCAAUGCACUCUUGACUCUGUCAGUGAACGGCUACCCACACGCACACCCACAUGUCACCGGCCCUCUUCAACCUGGCUGUCCUUCAGUUCCCAACAUUAGGCUCCAAUCAUGUUCUGUUCGGUUGUGGAAUGGUCUCAGUCCAUAUCUCAUCUUGCAGUGCCUAAUUUUACCAACAAUUUUCGAACAGCAUAUGUUCUCACAAUAACAAGGCUUAGGAGGAUUAUCUGUGAGCUGGGAACCAAUGAACUCCAAUAUUAUGCUUAUACGGAUAGUGAUAGAUCAGCUUUAUCAGGGUUACA